GGAGACACAAAAAGACAAACAUGCUUCAGUAGCCUGGUGGGGGUGCAGUCUUCAGGAAAAAGAUUCUCCAGCCCUAAGGAAACUGUUCCAGAUGGCAAACACUCUGUGACAGAAAGAACACACAGAGUUUAUUUGAUAUAUGCGGGUUUAUUUUAGAGUUGUUCCAGGGAGACCAAGCAAAGAAGCAGUGUUGCUGCCCAUUUAUACUGCAGAGCACUCAGAUGUAAAAGCUCUUAGUGCAGCAGGAGUCACAGCAGCUGCAGCAGCCGGCGGGGUCUCCAGAGCCAGCCUGGAGGACACCUCAACACUACAAGGUUACAUUAGACUAAUAUGCAAAAUCUUCAGCAUCAGCAGAAAGCAAUGGGAAACAUUUUCUUUCAUUUCUGAUUUAGUCAGAUUCCAGAUCCAGAACGUUUUUUAAGGGAUUUAAGCCUAAAAUAGUUGUAAAAAUGAUUAAUUGUAGCAAACCUUUACCAGAAUGGAAUUGAACACUGGAAGACAUAAGAGAGACAGGGUUAACAUUUUGAUUUUUUGUUUUUGUCUGUGAAGUUAAUACUGUGAAAAGCAUGGAAUUAUCUACAGGUUUUUUUUUGUUUGUUUGUUUUUUGUUUGUUUGUUUUUUGUUUUUUUUAAUUAAAAGUAAAUGUGCCUAUGCAGAGAGAUUGUUCCAGUUUGGACCAGAAAAUUCUCUGCAUGCACCAUAUAUCCUAGCAAUUUAUCUCAUGAUGGGGAAGUCAGCCUCUCUGAAAAUGUUAGAGCUAACAGUAACCAAAUCUGAGUUGUCCUAAAACGAUCAUUAAUCUGGAAGGAAAAAGUUAAGCAGAUGGAGCCUUUAGAAUCAUGUUAUAAAAACAUGUUAGGAAAGUGCAGGCUCAAGGUCUUAUGAAAUACAUCAUUUAGUACUUGCUGCUCUCAAGCCUAGCCACCUUCUUUCACUUCACUGUUUAUAUUUACUCACCUUUUUGUGCCAUUUAAUCUUUGCUGGAGACUUACAAUUUUCGGUUCACUUCAGUAACUUUAAGUGCAAACAGCACAGGAUCCCACCAGAAGUGGUCAGAAAAAUGACAGGGAGCAGGGGGUCCAAGGCCAGGAGUCCCCCAAGGUAUCUGAGAGGCCAGGGAAGAUUAAAACUCCUUCAGUCAUUGUCUUCUUUGUAUUCACAUGGUGCCCCACACUGAGGACUAUGAGAGUGGGUCCAGUUUUUGUGUUCAGCAUAACAUGGAAAUGAUCAGCUGCUCUGUACUACCAGACAGGAAACAUCUCCCUUUUCUGGGAACACUGGCGGAGACAUCCGAAGUGUUCUCUGUGCAAGAGACAUCCAAUGACCCAGGCUUCUUCAGAAUGGAGAAUCCACAUCCCCAGGGAGGGAAAUACUUCUUAAUGUUCCUCAGGAGAAAUAAAACCUCUGCUUGGAAAAAAAGGAAAAGGAAAAGGAAAAGGAAAAGGAAAAGGAAAAGGAAAAGGAAAAGGAAAAGGAAAAGGAAAAGGAAAAGGAAAAGGAAAAGGAAAAGGAAAAGGAAAAGGAAAAGGAAAAGGAAAGAAAAAAAAAGCCAUAGCUGUAAUGUAGUACCACAGAAAGACAACAAAGGAAUCAGUACUACCAUGAAAAUCCUGUGUCACCACGGUAGCAGAGGACUUACUGAAUAAAACUUCCCUAUGGCUAUAGACAGCAACUGUGUUUUGUGUUGUCGGAAAUAAAGCAAAGAAAAAGAGAACUUUUAAAUGGAAGAAAAAAUCCUGCCCAGAAAACUGGUGAUCAGUUUAAUUUAGAGGUUGUGAGCAGAGCACUCUUUUGGAGGGUCUUAGAGAGCGUAAUGCCAGCUGACUCUUGGAACAGCGAAGUUCUCUGACUCAAACACACCUGCCCUGAGAGAGGGGCAAAGGCAAGGUACUCCAUGUGAUAUGAAGUAACCUGUUUCUUGCCUUAGGAAAGAGGGAUGAGGAGUAACUAUAUGAUGAAAUGGUGGUACAUCUGCCUGUCUUUUAUCCCAAAUCCAUUGCCAUUAUUCUGUCACUGUUAGAAAACAGAAGUCUAGAUGCCAGUAGCAUAAAAAAUACAUGCCUCACCUCACACAGGGUUUCCAGAGCCCUGGGAAGUAGCUGCAGUGCUUAUUAAGGGUCCUUAAGCAGCCCUGGGGUUUGUGCUUACCUACAGACAGAGGCAUAAACCAACAGACACACCGCCACCCUUAUUGCCAUUUAAACUGUAGGCCUGAGGACUCAAGGUCAGCCCCUGCAGUACUUGGCCAUAAUUCCCAGUCAAUGGGAAUUGUCCCUAUUAAGCUGAGUGCAGCUGCUCUAAUAUUUGAAACUCUACUUAAGAAUAAAUAUUGACAUGGCUUAAAGGGAUUAACUAAGAUGACUGGACUCUUGUUAAAAACUUUUUAAGAUAAAAAAGAACCUUCUACAAAGUACUCAUAGUGUUUUGAGAUGUUAUUUCCUGUGAUAAAAUGGAAAAGAGGGGAAAAUUGCUAUAAUAAUAUAUGAACAUUCUCAUGUUCCUAAACACCUAUCUUUAAAUGACCAAAAAUAAUUCUCUUUAAAAAGUCUCAUAAAAUUGCACUUCAGGUAGCUCUGUGUGUGAGUUACUGAUGGACAGUAGAUGAUGUCACACCAGUGGCAAAGAGGUAAAUAGAUCAAAUUUUCCAAAUCUGUAUAGCUUGAUGCUAGUGACAUGAAGUUGCCAGUUCUGAAUUUUAAUUGCUCGGCUACUUUUAUUCAUGCUAAGUGCAGAUUAUUUACUUUGCUUCUCUGCAUCAGUCAUCCCAAUUUUAAAAUGGGAGCAAUCUCUGUGGCAGCUACAAAGAAUUUAGAGGGGGGUCAAUGAACCCACUCCUUGCUGUAGCUUUCCACACUACAGCUGCAGCCUUUCCCUUUGUCCACUGCCAUCAGCAUGGCAGCAAGAGGCAGCCUAAGCAGGUGGUGGGACGGCUGGUAUGGGGAGGGGAGUGGGUUGGGCACUCUGGCAGCUCCCUGGCACUCAGGCCGAGCUGGGUUGAAGCUGCGGCACAGCUGGCCCUGCUGAAUCCCAGCACACACACAUGGCACACUGCAGAAUGGCCUGACUGCUCAGGCCUGGAGAGAUGUUCAAGCUACUAGAGAAUAAAAGCAGAGAUAAUCUUAGAUGGGUAUCAAUGUUACAAAAGUCUUUGAAAUCAAAGGAACUUGAAAAAAGCUCUCAGCUUUCUCUCUGCAAAAAUCCUUGAAUUCAAUCUUUGGCUUAGUAAACUGCUUCUUUUAGCAAAGUAAAUUCAAAAAAUGCCGCAGUGAUGAACAAUGUAAUAAAGAAAGCCAUCACAUUAUUCUUGAAUGAGGUUUAAUAAAAAUCAAAUAAAAGCAAUUAUAUGAAUUUUCAAGAGGAUCACCUCUUCCUUCCCUGAGGUAUGAAGCAGAAUGAAUUCAGGAAAUCAUUUGAAUCAGAAGCUUGAGCUGCACAACACAGCCAGUGUUUGCUGUACAAAGACAAACAGACAUCUCUUCCCAGGCUAGCAGUCUGCUUGCUGGGGCUGUCCGAGUGGAAAUUCCACCUAUGGGCAAAGGAGGGUAAUUAAAGAAGCACAAGAAUUUCCUUGUAGUAGUUCUGGCUCUUCUGCUCCAGAGAAGCCUUCAUCUUUUCAAGUAUUCAUGCUCUUCUUUAUUUAUGCAAGAAGAAAUUGGACACAGUGAAACACUCAGAGCUGCCACAGAUCUCUGUAAGCAAAUAUAUGUGAAUUGAUACCCAUUAACAUUAACAACUUGCUCCUCUGCUCUCAGAGGGCCAGGUUUACCGAUUUCCUCUACCUUACGCAGUCAUUCAGGUUAAUAGAGAGUAUUUGCAAAGCACCAUCAAGUAGGACCAAUCCUGAAAUAUUCGCCUUUACACUUUCCAGUUGGAAAAUGCACUUUGAGUGAAAUGCAAACUUUAUUGUAAGAAUGUGUUGCUUUCAAUGCCAUUUUAAAAGGCAGAGAGCAGAAAUGCAUUAUAUCAAUAUUCUCAUUUACUCUGAUAAGAGGAAAACUUUUCGUGCUGACUUUCCUUUCAGUUGCUUUUGUUUUUAAUAUAAUGGUAAAGUAAGUAUUGCAAUACUGGUGCUACUGUUUAAAAUUUGAUAAGCAUGGUUAUACAAAUUUUUUACAAGAAAUCUACAGUGUGCCCACUUUCUCUCUCAGAUUCAGAAUGAAAACAAGUUCUGAAGUAAAAAUCUUACUGUUAGAUUAAAAUAUAUAGCAAGGUUAGACACUGCUUGGAAGUCAGAUGCAGAGGAACUUCAUUGCCUUCAAAAGAGAAACUUCUGCUUCCUGCCAUGUUCCAGGAGAGCAGAGGUAUGUUCUUCAUAUUAUAAAGCACUGGUAGAUGGUAGCUAAAUAUUUUAAAGGAGCUGAUUUUACUCUGCUUAACUGAUAUUUAUACAAUGCUUUGACCUCUGCAAAAGGAGGACAGCUAAAGUUGGAUGGAAGAAGUGGAAGCCAGACACUGUGACCAGGUGCCAUAUUUUCACUGUGAAUGUAUCACAGCCUUGUACUCUUGGUCAAAUCAUUUAGGGUUUGAAUCGGUCUUACAGGCUUUGGUCCUUACAUAUCUCAUGUAAUCACUUCUUCUGUGAGCCAGAUUCUUGCUCUGAAAUCUAACUCUCCGUGGCUGAUCUUUAGCAGCCCAUCAAUUAGUAGAGCAGACACUGACUUAAAAUGUAACAACAAUUUUGACUCUAGUCAAAACAAUGUAAAUGGAAAAACAUAGCAAUGCCAGAAUAACACCCAAUGAGGUAGAAAAAUAGGGAGAAAAAAACCUCUGAUCCUAAUCUUGCAACAAAUUGUAUGCAAAUACUGCCUCAGGAGAGCUUUUGGGCUGUGAGAUUUUUCCUGUUAAAUAUUUUGUAGAAUUUGGGCCUUAAUUUUAUGUCACAGAAGCAGAGAAAAACAGUGGAGAGGGGUUUAUAUCUGUACCUACUGAUGCCAUAUAAGAUUCAUGGUUCAGUUCCCCUGAAAAGAAAAGCAACAGGUUUCUUGUUAUCUAUCUUUUAUAAUACUUGGAAUAUAAGUGCUGUUGUGCCAGACUGCCAGUUAUUUGGCACACAUUACCGCCAGAGAAAUGCCUCAGAACUGAGAAAUGCAGGUUCUUCAAAUUAAAAGAGGAAAAAUAAUCUCACUGCAGGUGUCUUAAAUAUUUCAGGAGGUACAUGAAUUCCACUCUGGCAAGCUGUGUCUUUCACGUACCUAUAAAAAAGCAAAAUGAUUGGUCAUACAUUUAAGAGUCAUUGCCAACUACCAUUUUCUCCAGAUCAAUUCAAAACAAGAUAGGAUGGAUGUUUGAUACCAGGUUAAGGGAGUAUUUUUUGUUUGUUUGUUUGUUUUUGCUCAUUUGCUUUUUUUCAACUUUAUCUUCGGAGAGGCGGGUUCUGGUUUUCACUUCCCCACUCUGCAGAGCCUCCAGUCAUUGAGAAGUGACUCUAGUCAUUGAAGGGGGCAAGUCUGAGUAGAGGACAGGCGCAUUAUCAGACAUUGCCCAUAGUUUUCUUUUACCUGUGAAUAUGACAAAACAUACAGCAGCAUGAGAAUGUGUACAUUCUCCCCACCGAGAUUUAUUUUAGAAAAGAUGCCUUUUGAUUUCAGGACUUUGAUAGGUUACCCAGUACUUCCCUGAUCUAACCUUCAAGUCCUAUCAAGACAGUAUAGUGUUUGAGGUGUCAUUGCUAACCUCUGCAUUCCCCACAAGACUGUAAAGUCUGAACAAAAAUAAUUCUGAAAGUCUUCAUUGAGUUUUAUUCAGUAUUUAAACUAUUCCCCGUAACAGUAGCCCGAUAAUGUACAUCAUACAUCCUUUCUCCUGGGUUUGGGAUUCUUCCAGGUUUUUAAAGUUGAAGUCUAGGUAGUAUUUAGAGCUCUUAAAAGUAAUUCUACAUUUUGGGACUCUUUUUGCUCUAGCUACCAGAUAGGAUCUAACUGCUACAUGCCAGCUGCCAAACGAAAAGAAAUCCAGAAAGGGAAUAUGGAAAAGUGGGGUUGGUAUAAAGAAUUUCAUCAAAUGUCAGGAAGCCAUUAAUUCAGGACAAACUUGCUAUAUGUUCCUCUGCUUUGUUUAAAACAAAGCACUGACAAAAAAUGUAGACUUACGUACAAUAACAGGAAAUCAAACAGAUACUAUUCCAGCAUGUGUAGUGGAAAAUGCGUAUGUAUAGAAAUUAAAUAAAAGAAAAUCCUUCAGCUAAAAAAAGACACUUAAAAGAUGACUUUUCAGCUUUUAAAGUUUAGAAGGCAAGAUAGAGUGGAACAAGUGUGAUUCUGCUUGAGAUAAUAGGAUAAUUCUUCCUCUUUAAAGGAACAAGCCUAGCAAGCAAACAAACACUCACAACUGUCUGUAAUCAUAUAUCGUGAUGCAGCAAAUAGGCAAUAGCUGCCUGGCUGUGGCUCACAUGAGGGAUGAAGCCAAUGGGCUUUGUCUGCUCUGUAGAGGGAAAACUUUACAGUGAGUUUGUGGAGGUUAGCAAGGACAGUACACUCAGGUGGUUUAGCCUACAUUUAAAUGAGAAUGACUCAGCACAGUGAUUUAAAAUACACCUGUACUGUGGCUGGCUUGUUGGAACAGGGCACCUGCCAGUUCAGCUCACGAGUCAGGAACAGGUUCAGGUACAGGUUCUGGUCAUGUAUUUGCCAUGGAUUUUUGAGCAAAUCCCAUUGCCUAGAUUUCCAAGAAUAUCUUCCAUUCCUAGAUGUUCUGGUAGCAAAUAUUCAGCAAAGGACACCUUCGUGUGUCCCAACAGUCAGCACCAAGUUGCCAUUUGUGUCAGAAUUGCUCAUGCUAGGAUCUCAGACCAAUCAGUUCAUUACACAAACACCUCUUGUGAUACAUAUCAAUAAGCAUAUAUUUGUAUUUAUUUAGAUCAACUUAUAUUUAACAAUAUUUUUUCAUAUUGUUCAUGCAGACCAAAAGAAUCACACAGAAGUAGGAAAUAGGCCCACUGUUAACUGCAGGUGUUUUCAUGCUCAUGCUAUCAACUUGAGACACCAUGGACAUGACUUUCAGAAAGGACAACCUUCCAACUCUUCUUGCGAAGGAAUCUGAAUGUCAGCUGUACCACCAAACUGCUUUUGCAAAUCUGAUGAACCAAAACACUUCUCAUAAAUUAGGCAUUUUUUUCCUGCCUGAGUAAGCAUAUUUGUGUGGCAUGUGAAGAAGCACCAAGUCUGAGGGACCUUGCUGGAUUGAAGGCUUACUCAGUCUGUGUAGUCAUGAUGCUGGAAGCAAGUAUUUAUGAUACGAGCUGCCACUAGACAUAAACAUCUGAAAGACCUUUGGUCCUGCAUUAACAAAAAUUAAAGCACUAACUUAGCCUCACAAUGCUGCUGUACAACAAAAACAAGCCAAAAUAAAUUCCCUACAGACAGAUGGACAAUUCCCUACAGACAGAUAACCCAACUCAGCUGCUUUCCAGUCCUGAACACAAACCCUGUAUUUAAAGAAUUUUAGACACCCUCUACCCAUUACCUGAGGAACAGAUGAAUUUAUUGUAAAACUAAAGGAAAUUAAUUCAACAGAUCACUGUUUUAGCAACGUUUAUUUAUUUAUUAUCAGAAGGAGUACAGUUAGUUGUGUGAAAUCCUCCUGUACUCCUUCAAGAUUCUCAGUGCAUUAACAAACAUGUUUCCGCAAAUCCAAAAGUUUAAGAUGAUGCUUUGCUUUCUUUAAUCUCUAUCAGGCAUGGAUACAGACAUUCUUAACACCAUAGGAAAUAAAAAAAAAAUCCUGAAAAUAUGUCCAUUCUUAGAAAUGAAGUAGAAAAUAGUCACUAUACAAGGUAGCUUCUCUUGUUUAAUUGGACGCCAGCAAUUAAAAUCUGCUUUUAACAUAACUUUUGUAUCACUAGAUUUGUUCAGUUUUUAUCAUAUAGUUUUAUGUUUUGUUUUAAUUUAGCUUUGAUUUUUUUUAAAGUGUCUUCAAAGAAAUGACUAAAAGAAAACAACACCUGAACGAUAUGGAAUGUGCUGGGGCAUAAUGAAAGUAGUUGCCAUGUAUGUGGAGUUUUUUGAUCCACGUAUAUAGACUUAGGUUUACAUAAAUAACUGUGUGGCUGUGUGUCCCCCAAAUCCUCUUAAAGCUGUGUUGUAAAUCCCAAGGAAGCUCCCCUUUGUGUCUUGUCUUUAGGUAUUUGGCCUCGGUAGCUUAAAGCUCUUGUACUGGCUCUUGGUUGCAACGGUCCUGAGGAAGCUGUGUAUGAGUAAGCAAUCCUGCAGAGGUGCUGUGUGGGCCAACAAGAACACCUGCAAUGAGGUGGCACAGGGAAGAAUAUUUCUGCUUAAGCACAAGUCAGGUUGGUGCCUUCCCAGUGGAUGCAAGUGUCAUGAGUGCAGGUAUCACCCAUAAAAGGAGCAUGUGGCUGAAGGGAUUAAAACCUCACACAGUGUGUUUUGGAGCAGCCAGCUUUUAGUGUGAAACAUCUAGUUGGUGCUCCAUGUCACAGCUCUCUGUCAUACUGCCCACUGAGCAGGACCUGUGAGCCCAGCAUGGCACAGUAGGGCUGCUCAGGGAGCUGUACGGUGGCCAAUGAGGCUGAACACCAGCUACGCUGCUUGUCUGCAUGCCUCGCAGUGAGAUGCAUGCUGUGUGUUUGCAAAGCUCCCUUUCCUUCUGCGGCUGCAGUUGUUAAGGAGCACUGAACUGCCCAGGCCCCUCCAUGCCCGCCAAGCAGAGGCUUGCUCAUCCCUGCAGCACAGAGCAGAGGGAAGCCCUGAGACCUGCAGUGCAGGGUGGGUGGGGAAAGCCAGGAUAGAAGGCAGGGAGUAUUUGAGCAUUAGCAAUGACCUACCAUGAAAACCAAUUUUUUUUUUUUAAUUUUUAAUUAUUAUUAUUCUAACUGAUAAGAGAGUCUGAAAGAAGUUGUACCCAGGCAUGACAGUUCUGUUUGAUGAUAAAAUGGUAUCCCCUCUCCAGUUACUCAUGCAAAAAUGUCUGUUUUUAUUUAAGAAGUGUGCACUCCUGAGCCUCCUCCUCCUUUUCUUCCCCACUAGGUUACAUGACUGACACUUUUGCCAUGACAAAUCCAUGAGUGUUUUAAAAAUUUACCAUGAAAACCCUGGAGCUUUAAUUAUUGUGCAUUUACAUAAUUAGUGCAAAUACAUGCAAUUACCAUGUGUACCUACACAAUUACCAGCUACAAUGAUGUACUAACAAUCCUUAUUAAACUUUGGUGGGGGAGGGCCGUGUUGAUUGUAUGCGCGAGGAACAUCUGUAGCCCAGUCCUCCUUUUCUCUCCCUUGCUGGAAGCAACCAUGUGUUUAGGGAUAGGGGUUGGUGUGCUGGGAACAGUGACAUGCUGGAAGUAGGUCAGUCAGCUGUCCAAAUCGGACUUCUAGGAGGUGAAAACACAGGAUGGAUAUUCCCAGUAAUGUUUCUAGGACAUAGUUUCUGCAGUUAGUGCAAUGCCAUCAAUACUUGAUUACCCAUGGGUUAAUUAUCCAAAUUGCGAGGUAACUGUGCUGCAUCAGUUAUGUGUAUCUUUGCUCACAUCUGCAGUUCACCUGAGUGGAAUCCCCCAGUUUCUGUCACAGCUGUACUUCUCUUGUCUUGAACCUGCAAGAGUCUACAUAAAGUGAGUCCUCUUGAUGUGACUUUGUGCCUUGUGGUGGCUUCAGGUGUCUACCUGAAUAUCUACUACAAGCGUUUCCAAAUGACUUAUUUAUCUUGAUUAAUCUUCUGCAAAGAAAAAAUGUUCCAGCUCACAAACACCCCCCUCUUGCAAAACUUAUGCUCUCUGUUUUACAGAAAUGGUUCAGUGUAAAAAUUCAUAGGAUCAUUAAAGUUGGAGAAGAUUUCUAAGGUCAUCACGUCCAACCAUCACUUCUGUUGUUUCGUGGACAAUGGAAUAGAGCAAGUGAUGCAUUAAGGACUGUACCUUUUCCUAUUGUUUCCACUUUUGCCCUUAUUCUGGUCCUCAGCAGCAAGGAAUUGCCUGUGGUACAUCUGAGAGAGCCUUGCAACAAAACUCCUCGCUGCUCCCUCUCCUCUAGAUAGUGCCUCAUGUAGGAAGGAAAAUGGUCUGCCGCCCGUUUGUUUCUUUUGCCUCAUGAAACACAGCUCAGGCUUUUUGCGUGUAAGCCUAUGGAGCGUAUGGUUGUACAGAAGAGCCUGCUUUUUGGUUGUGUUUGUUCGUUGCUUAUUUUUUUAGCCUAUUCUCACAGUAGAAAGCCAUCAUGUCUGUUAAAACAGUGAAAAAUUGAGAGGCUAAUUGUUGCUGCUAAAUGCAAUAAAGUAGUACUUUGGGUUUUCAGGCAUGUUUUAUGACCAAUAUGGCAAUUACUGAAUAAAAUCCCACGUCCUGGAAUGUUUAUUUGUGUAAACAACUUAUGGUUAUUUAUUCAUAUUUUUUGAAUUUUUUUUUUUUGAAAUUGUAUUAACCAUCCCUUGUGGUACCAAAUACAGUUGGUUAGGGAAAAAAAAAAUUGAUGCCACAUGCUAAAUGGAAGGGUCCAUUGAGAAUCUAGUCCUGAAUGUAUUUAAGGCUCUGUUUUAUUCGGCAUGAUUAGCUGUGUUACAAGCCACCAUUAUGUUCUGGCAAGCUCUGUCUGAUUUGAAGCAGUCCUCGCUCUCCUCACAGUAACAUUUUACUUGCUGGUCUAUUUCCAUGCUGGUGGGCUGGCUUGGGGCUACCUCUCACAUAAACUCAGACCAGGGUUCAAGCAAGAUGCUCUCCAGCUGGUGCUGGUGGCAUUUGACAUCUUUUCUUCAUGAUUGGGUCAUGUAAGAGCUGAAGACAAGGGGAGAAACAGAAGUAGAUCUUGGACCUCAGCAUGCAUGCUCUACAAAUGGCUGCAUUUGUUGUUCUUUAAAUCUCAUGAUCUUUUGCAAUUAAAAUUCAGUUCAGGCUAAAAAAAAAAAAAAAAAAGACCUAUUUAUUGUAAAAAAUCAAGCAGGAGAGAGUCAAAUGGUAGAAUAAAUACUGCUAUCUGUCUGAUAUCCACAUCAUGGACAGCUCUGCUAACAUAGUGAAUGAAAUGAUUUCAGGGUAGUUAAGUGCAUGUCUGGUUUUACAUAAGGUUAACAUGAUUGCAUUAUUUGUGGUCAUUCAAAAUCCUUGGGUGCUCUUUUACAAGAGUAUGGUGUUGCGUGCAGCUGGAAGACAGCCAAAGUGCUUUGCUAAUUAUAUUCUGCCUGGGUACCUUCCCUGAAGUUAAAGCUUGUAUAAAGUUUUGUAUUCUUUUUCACUUUUUCCUCCCGAAUCUGUAUGAUACAGCUUAAAAAAAAAAAAAAAAAAAAAAAAAAAAAAAAGUUUAACAACAACAGAAGUGGUCACAGUCCCUACUUACAGAUCUUACCUUCAGUAUUCGGAGGAUCAUUUUUGUUAUGGGAAAGGCUUGGUCCAGUCGAAUGACUUUGGCCCAGACCAAAUUUUGGUUUGAAGUUUCUCAAAGUUGAGAUUUAUUUGGUUUUUGACCUUAGAUUGAAUCGGCUCUAACAGGGCACUGUCUUGAUCUGCUUCAGAAGGGCAGAUUAUAUGCACUGGAGUGAAGAGUGUUUAUGUCCCUGUAAAAGUACACUUUCAGCACUAUAUAAAUAGCACGUUUACAAUGCUGCAUUUCCUCAGCUCACAUGUGAAGUUCCUUCUCAGUAACUUACAAUCACAUGGUGUGCCUUCUCUUCCUAUUCUUCUCGCUUUUUUUUUUUUUUUAAAUUUUGUUUUGUUUUGUUUUAAGCUAUGUCCUUGACUCUUGAAGGCACACAUCCUGGAUUUUAAUGCUAUCUCACCACAUCACAUUUUUAAGGGCUUUAUUCCCUUUGCCAAACUAGCCAAGUCGCCUUGCUUAACCUAGCAGGGUAUGCCAGGGAGGGCUGGGCACGAUGCUGUAAGCCAGAGCCUGGUGCUACACAAAGGACACCCCACGCCAAGCGCAGCCCUGGGAACCAAGCUGCCCGGUGGUGGUCCCAGAGCCAUGGUAUGUGCAAGGCCAGGCGCUUGGUUAUGCCAGCUGCCUUUCAGCAGCACACCAUGGAGGGUUUGGGGCUUCUAGGCAUGUUAAAUAACUUGCAAAAUUUUGGCAUAAAAAAGGGCUUGGCUCAGAUGAGAUGCAUUCCCUUAGUGACCGAGAAAAGUGCUGAUGCUACGGCUCCUAAUGCUGGAGCUCCUGUACAGAGCUGUGUACCAAGUUCCAGUCAAGAAUGACCACGGUACUGAAGCAGUACAUACUGAGCAACACCAAAGAGGGACCAAGUUGAAGAUGACCUGCAGAUGUUCUUAGGCUUCAAAAGGGAAGGGGAAAAAAAGAGAGAGCCCAAACCUCCAGCCAUUUCCCUCUUAAUGUCAUCAUUGUUUUCAAUCUGUUUUUCUCAGUAAAAUUGUUUACUUUUUCCUCUAGGGCUCCAGUUGCAUAACCACAUACUUCCUUACUGUCUUUGCAGGGCAAUUUCAUGUCUAAUUAAAGAAUUCACAUAAACCUUGCUCCCCCCCCCCCCCCCCCUCCAUAAGAGAUUAAAAUGGCCAUAGACUUUAAUACACUACACAAGUUUGUCUGCACAUGGUGAAAUGUGUACACCCUGACUGCAGCCCCACUUGGCCAUUAGGUUGCCUCCCCCGAUGUAAUGUGGUUGUGUUCCGUGGCACUGCUCCUGUGGCUCCGUGUAAGCAAGCUAGGAGAAGACGCCAUCUCCUUCGGUUUGGGGCAGCACCAGCUGGACUGCUCCGUGUGAGAUAGGCCCGCGGGCUGCGGCAAGGAGGGAGCAGAGGGAUGUCGGACGUAUGGGCGUCAGGUGAGAGCUCAGAAGGGCCUCGUGUCUGGGCAGCACCAGCUGCCCCCUGGCCUUGACACGAUGCUACGGGUAGCUAAAAGGAAGGAGAGCGCUGCUGGUGUCAGAAGGCAGUAGGGAAUCAGCGCUGCCCAUACGGUCGCCUGCGUGUAUCGCAGGAGAGGUGCGUCAUCCCACAGCCCAUGCUGCGCUCCCCUGGGUUACCCUGGGCUGGGCACCGCAGCAGCAGUGGGUGCACGGCCGGUCGGGCUGCUGCCCGAGG
ensembl:lncRNA